AGUGAACGCUGGCGGUAGGCCUAACACAUGCAAGUCGAACGGCAGCACAGUAAGAGCUUGCUCUUACGGGUGGCGAGUGGCGGGCGGGUGAGGCAUACAUCGGAAUCUACUUUUUCGUGGGGGAUAACGUAGGGAAACUUACGCUAAUACCGCAUACGACCUACGGGUGAAAGCAGGGGAUCUUCGGACCUUGCGCGAUUGAAUGAGCCGGUGUCGGAUUAGCUAGUUGGCGGGGUAAAGGCCCACCAAGGCGACGAUCCGUAGCUGGUCGGAGAGGAUGAACAGACACAUGGGGAGUGAGACACGGCCCAGGAGCCGACGGGAGGCAGCAGUGGGGAAUCUGCCGCAAGGGGCGAAAGUCUGACGGAGCAACGCCGGGUGAGUGAUGACGGACUUCGGGUUGUAAAGCUCUGUUAAUCGGGACGAAAGGACUUCUUGCGAAUAGUGAGAAGGAUUGACGGUACCGGAAUAGAAAGCCACGGCUAACUACGUG
rnacentral:rRNA from 1 species